UCGAGCGAAGCGCUUAAGUCAGAAUCUUCGGAGGAAGACUUUUGUGACUGAGCGGCGGACGGGUGAGUAACGCGUGGGUAACCUGCCUUACACAGGGGGAUAACAGUUAGAAAUGACUGCUAAUACCGCAUAAGACCACAGUACUGCAUGGUACAGUGGUAAAAACUGAGGUGGUGUAAGAUGGACCCGCGUCUGAUUAGGUAGUUGGUGGGGUAAUGGCCCACCAAGCCGACGAUCAGUAGCCGGCCUGAGAGGGUGGACGGCCACAUUGGGACUGAGACACGGCCCAGACUCCUACGGGAGGCAGCAGUGGGGAAUAUUGCACAAUGGGGGAAACCCUGAUGCAGCGACGCCGCGUGAGCGAUGAAGUAUUUCGGUAUGUAAAGCUCUAUCAGCAGGGAAGAAAAUGACGGUACCUGACUAAGAAGCCCCGGCUAACUACGUGCCAGCAGCCGCGGUAAUACGUAGGGGGCAAGCGUUAUCCGGAUUUACUGGGUGUAAAGGGAGCGUAGACGGCAUGGCAAGCCAGAUGUGAAAUACCGGGGCUCAACCCCGGGACUGCAUUUGGAACUGUUAAGCUGGAGUGUCGGAGAGGCAGGCGGAAUUCCUAGUGUAGCGGUGAAAUGCGUAGAUAUU
rnacentral:rRNA from 1 species